GUCCCUGUAGCGUGAUGGACAGCGCGUUGGACUUCAUAUCCAAAGGUUAUUGGUUCGAAUCCCACCAGGGAUA